CCUACGGGUGGCAGCAGUGGGGGAUAUUGCACAAUGGGGGAAACCCUGAUGCAGCGACGCCGCGUGUGGGAAGACGGUCCUCUGGAUUGUAAACCACUGUCCCCAGGGACGAAGAUGACGGUACCUGGGGAGGAAGCUCCGGCUAACUACGUGCCAGCAGCCGCGGUAAUACGUAGGGAGCGAGCGUUGUCCGGAAUUACUGGGUGUAAAGGGAGCGUAGGCGGGACUGCAAGUUGGGUGUCAAAUCUACCGGCUCAACCGGUAGCCGCACUCAAAACUGCAGUUCUUGAGGGAAGGAGAGGCAGGCGGAAUUCCUGGUGUAGCGGUGAAAUGCGUAGAUAUUAGGAGGAACACCAGUGGCGAAGGCGGCCUGCUGGGCUUUUACUGACGCUGAGGCUCGAAAGUGUGGGGAGCAAACAGGAUUAGAUACCCUUGUAGUC
rnacentral:rRNA from 1 species